AGAGAGCACUAAGGUGUUUUUGAUUACCCCACCAUAUAUUAUUAGAAUAAUAAUAAUAAUGCAAUGUCACAUAGAAGAAAAAAACAAGGACAAGUGAAGCAUAGAAUCUUCAAUGCAAAGGGUAACAAGGUUAGUCCAAACAUACAGACAGUGCCAAAUAUUUUUAGUUCUCAUGAAAAAGGGAAGAAAAAAUUGAGAUGACAAAUUGGAGUUGUUUUCUGCAAUCAUGCAAAAAAGAUUAAGGUUUUGUUAUAUAAAAAAAAAACAUUUUUACAAUAUAUUUUGUGUUUGACUGUUGUUCAAAGAGUAUGGCAGUGUUGUUUGAUGGUCCUACUUUAGUUUCCUGUCUUACUUGAAGGGAACCUUAUAUUCGGUCACUCUGCCUUGUGCAUGUGGUUUUGCCAGUCACUUCUGUUUCUGUAAACCAAUGAAACAUGUACAAAGAAGGGACAUAAAGGAAGAAAAACAAAUAAAGGAACAAGUACCUAAGCUCAUCCUAAUGAAACUCCUCUGAUCACUUCAAGCUCUUGAGAUAAAAAGGUACAAUUUUCUUUGCUCUAUGUAUCUUAUAACCAUCUUUCAUUUUGUGUGUAAUAAUUUGUAUAUAAUUAAUUACAUUUAGUAUUUGUGUAGUGACAUAAUGUAUAGAUAGAUAUAUAUACUUUUGUGUGCCUGGCUCCCUGUAUGCCAUUUGUAGAGUUCAUCAAAAUAGUGAUGGCUUUAAUGAAUGGCGUGCGAGGAGCCAUGCAUGCUGUGUAUAUUUUCUAUAUCCUGUACAAGAUCUUGUUCUUAAUUUUUGCAUGUUAUCUUAAUUAUGUUUCAAUCUUUUCUUGUUUGUAUUGUUUGGUUGUUUAAUUUUCAUUCACCUUUGGGAAGGGAUGCAGGGGAAGCAGGGGUGUAGUAAUUGAUCUUUGGAUUGGAUCUUCUUUCUUUAGGUGUCUAGAUGGAUAAUUAGUACUAAUCUGUUUUUAAUUAAUAAUGCAAUGUUCAAGUGAAUUUAUGUAUAUAGAGCUUCAUUGUUCAAGAUGCCUUUGACUUGGUUAGAUUAGAUAGUAGAUAGGUAGGUUUUUAUUAGGUAUAGAUAACAAAUAAUUUUUUAAAUUGUGAAUGUUGCUUUCAUAUUUUUGAACAAAUAUUUUAAAUAAAAUUAAAAUAACAAUGAUUUUUGUUUGUGAAAAUAUGUUAGUAUUUAGUAUAGUUAGUAUCACAUAAGAAUGAUAUGACAAUUUUUGUUUUCAUGUUUUGUUAUAUUACUUUCUGACUUUAUUUGAUCACUUUAGAGGUUAAUAAUUGACUUAUUAAUUUGUCCAUGUGUAAAGAUCAUUAUCACUCUCAAGUGGACGUAGUCACCAAUCGUUUUCGUAGUUCUGUUGUCAUUUUUGUUGUAAUUGAAUAGUUAAUUGUUUAUGUAUAAACUCAUCACUAAAAAAUUGUUUAUGUGUAAAUAUUAAAACACAUUCAUUACAGCACAGUAAUGAGAAGCUUCUCAAUUCAAAUAAUUAAUUAAUGAUACACAUUCUUUCUUAUAAUUAUUAAGCUUAUUUGCUUCAGAAAAUAUGUAUUGUUUUCACUAUCUGUCUAAAGAUGAAAUUGCAAAAAAGAAAAAGUAUUUUUGAUUGAUGGAGACCAAGGAAGUUGAAGUGGUGGUCCAAUAGGGCCAUAGUCCAAAGAUGCAGUGCAAGAAAUUGAGAGAAUCCCUGACAAGGGCCAACAAAUUGAAAGCAGGAGUUCAGAGAUUCCAUGACAAAAACAACUUGAAGCCUUUGUUUCGAUAUUUUAUCGAAUAAUUAUCAAAGUUCUAGCCCAAUAAAUAGGCUAAUGAUUGGUGUCAUUAUAAAUAAUGAGUUUCUUUUUCCACCAUAGAUACACUUUGGAAGUACAUAUUUGUAAAAAAAAAAAUGUUUUUUGCCCUCUAGAUUUGUUCAAACAUAAUUUAGUUGCCCUUUGAAUUUGUACUACGAGGCAGACAUAUAUGAUUUUUUUAAAAA